rnacentral:rRNA from 1 species
GACGAACGCUGGCGGCGUGCCUAAUACAUGCAAGUAGAACGCACAGUUUAUACCGUAGCUUGCUACACCAUAGACUGUGAGUUGCGAACGGGUGAGUAACGCGUAGGUAACCUGCCUGGUAGCGGGGGAUAACUAUUGGAAACGAUAGCUAAUACCGCAUAAUAUUAAUUAUUGCAUGAUAAUUAAUUGAAAGGUGCAAUUGCACCACUACCAGAUGGACCUGCGUUGUAUUAGCUAGUAGGUGAGGUAACGGCGCACCUAGGCGACGAUACAUAGCCGACCUGAGAGGCUGCUCGGCCACACUGGGACUGAGACACGGCCCAGACUCCUACGGGAGGCAGCAGUAGGGAAUCUUCGGCGAUGGCCGAAAGUCUGACCGAGCAACGCCGCGUGAGUGCAGAAGGUUUUCGGAUCGUAAAGCUCUGUUGUAAGAGAAGAACGGGUGUGAGAGUGGAAAGUUCACACUGUGACGGUAUCUUACCAGAAAGGGACGGCUAACUACGUG